CCUACGGGUGGCAGCAGUGGGGAAUAUUGGACAAUGGGCGAAAGCCUGAUCCAGCCAUGCCGCGUGUGUGAAGAAGGCCUUCGGGUUGUAAAGCACUUUCAGUGGGGAAGAAAGCCUUGGGGCUAAUACCCUCGAGGAAGGACAUCACCCACAGAAGAAGCACCGGCUAACUCCGUGCCAGCAGCCGCGGUAAUACGGAGGGUGCGAGCGUUAAUCGGAAUUACUGGGCGUAAAGCGCGCGUAGGCGGUCUGAUAAGCCGGUUGUGAAAGCCCCGGGCUCAACCUGGGAACGGCAUCCGGAACUGUCAGGCUAGAGUGCAGGAGAGGAAGGUAGAAUUCCCGGUGUAGCGGUGAAAUGCGUAGAGAUCGGGAGGAAUACCAGUGGCGAAGGCGGCCUUCUGGACUGGCACUGACGCUGAGGUGCGAAAGCGUGGGUAGCAAACAGGAUUAGAUACCCGAGUAGUC
rnacentral:rRNA from 1 species